rnacentral:rRNA from 1 species
GCGCGCCUACGGGGGGCAGCAGUGAGGAAUAUUGGUCAAUGGGCGGGAGCCUGAACCAGCCAAGCCGCGUGAAGGAAGAAGGCGCCAGGCGUCGUAAACUUCUUUUGUCGGGGAACAAAGGGCGCCACGCGUGGCGUUGUGAGUGUACCCGAAGAAAAAGCAUCGGCUAACUCCGUGCCAGCAGCCGCGGUAAUACGGAGGAUGCGAGCGUUAUCCGGAUUUAUUGGGUUUAAAGGGUGCGCAGGCGGGAGAUCAAGUCAGCGGUAAAAUGUCGGGGCUCAACCCCGGCCGGCCGGUGAAACUGG